UACGAAGGUGGCAAGCGUUACUCGGAAUUACUAGGCGUAAAGGGCAGGUAGGUGGUUUGGUAAGUCUGUUGUGAAAGCUCCUUGCUUAACGGGGAGAGGUCAACAAGAUACUGCCAGGCUUGAGUAUGGGAGAGGGUACUGGAAUUCCAGGUGUAGCGGUGAAAUGCGUAGAUAUCUGGAGGAAUACCGGUGGCGAAGGCGGCAUCCUGGACCGACAUUGACGCUGAGGAGCGAAAGCUAGGGGAGCAAACGGG
rnacentral:rRNA from 1 species